rnacentral:rRNA from 1 species
CCUACGGGGGACAGCAGUGAGGAAUAUUGGUCAAUGGGCGCGAGCCUGAACCAGCCAAGUAGCGUGAAGGAUGACUGCCCUACGGGUCGUAAACUUCUUUUAUAAAGGAAUAAAGUGAGGCACGUGUGCCUUUUUGUAUGUACUUUAUGAAUAAGGAUCGGCUAACUCCGUGCCAGCAGCCGCGGUAAUACGGAGGAUCCGAGCGUUAUCCGGAUUUAUUGGGUUUAAAGGGAGCGUAGAUGGGUUGUUAAGUCAGUUGUGAAAGUUUGCGGCUCAACCGUAAAAUUGCAAUUGAUACUGGCAGUCUUGAGUACAGUUGAGGUAGGCGGAAUUCGUGGUGUAGCGGUGAAAUGCUUAGAUAUCACGAAGAACUCCGAUUGCGAAGGCAGCUUACUAAACUGCCACUGACAUUGAUGCUCGAAAGUGUGGGUAUCAAACAGGAUUAGAUACCCUUGUAGUC